UGUGAAGCUGACUACUUAUGCCCCUCA
rnacentral:piRNA from 1 species